GAAAUGCGAUAAUUAAUGUGAAUUGCAGAAUUCAGUGAAUCAUCGAGUCUUUGAACGCACAUUGCGCCCCCUGGUAUUCCGGGGGGCAUGCCUGUCCGAGCGUCAUUGCUGCCUUCAAGCACGGCUUGUGUGUUGGGCUUCCGUCCCUGGCAACGGGGACGGGCCCAAAAGGCAGUGGCGGCACCAUGUCUGGUCCUCGAGCGUAUGGGGCUUUGUCACCCGCUCCCGUAGGUCCAGCUGGCAGCUAGCCUCGCAACCAAUCUUUUUAACCAGGUUGACCUCGGAUCAGGUAGGGAUACCCGCUGAACUUAAGC
rnacentral:misc_RNA from 1 species